rnacentral:rRNA from 11 species
AUAUAAGGCCCUAGACACCCCAGAAACACCAGACCUUGUCUGACCUUGUAAGCAAAGCAGGGUUGGCCGUAGUUUUUAUUUGGAUGGGUGACCGCCAACAAAUACCAGGUGCUGUAAAGG